rnacentral:rRNA from 1 species
GACAGAGGGUGCGAACGUUGUCCGGAAUCAUUGGGCGUAAAGCGCGUGUAGGCGGCCCGGUAAGUCCGCUGUGAAAGUCCAGGGCUCAACCCUGGGAUGCCGGUGGAUACUGUCGGGCUCGAGUCCGGAAGAGGCGAGUGGAAUUCCUGGUGUAGCGGUGAAAUGCGCAGAUAUCAGGAGGAACACCAAUGGCGAAGGCAGCUCGCUGGGACGUGACUGACGCUGAGACGCGAAAGCGUGGGGAGCAAACAGG